rnacentral:rRNA from 1 species
GAUGAACGCUGGCGGCGUGCCUAAUACAUGCAAGUCGAGCGAACGGACGAGAAGCUUGCUUCUCUGAUGUUAGCGGCGGACGGGUGAGUAACACGUGGAUAACCUACCUAUAAGACUGGGAUAACUUCGGGAAACCGGAGCUAAUACCGGAUAAUAUUUUGAACCGCAUGGUUCAAAAGUGAAAGACGGUCUUGCUGUCACUUAUAGAUGGAUCCGCGCUGCAUUAGCUAGUUGGUAAGGUAACGGCUUACCAAGGCAACGAUGCAUAGCCGACCUGAGAGGGUGAUCGGCCACACUGGAACUGAGACACGGUCCAGACUCCUACGGGAGGCAGCAGUAGGGAAUCUUCCGCAAUGGGCGAAAGCCUGACGGAGCAACGCCGCGUGAGUGAUGAAGGUCUUCGGAUCGUAAAACUCUGUUAUUAGGGAAGAACAUAUGUGUAAGUAACUGUGCACAUCUUGACGGUACCUAAUCAGAAAGCCACGGCUAACUACGUGCCAGCAGCCGCGGUAAUACGUAGGUGGCAAGCGUUAUCCGGAAUUAUUGGGCGUAAAGCGCGCGUAGGCGAUUUUUUAAGUCUGAUGUGAAAGCCCACGGCUCAACCGUGGAGGGUCAUUGGAAACUGGAAAACUUGAGUGCAGAAGAGGAAAGUGGAAUUCCAUGUGUAGCGGUGAAAUGCGCGGAGAUAUGGAGGAACACCAGUGGCGAAGGCGACUUUCUGGUCUGUAACUGACGCUGAUGUGCGAAAGCGUGGGGAUCAAACAGGAUUAGAUACCCUGGUAGUCCACGCCGUAAACGAUGAGUGCUAAGUGUUAGGGGGUUUCCGCCCCUUAGUGCUGCAGCUAACGCAUUAAGCACUCCGCCUGGGGAGUACGACCGCAAGGUUGAAACUCAAAGGAAUUGACGGGGACCCGCACAAGCGGUGGAGCAUGUGGUUUAAUUCGAAGCAACGCGAAGAACCUUACCAAAUCUUGACAUCCUUUGACAACUCUAGAGAUAGAGCCUUCCCCUUCGGGGGACAAAGUGACAGGUGGUGCAUGGUUGUCGUCAGCUCGUGUCGUGAGAUGUUGGGUUAAGUCCCGCAACGAGCGCAACCCUUAAGCUUAGUUGCCAUCAUUAAGUUGGGCACUCUAAGUUGACUGCCGGUGACAAACCGGAGGAAGGUGGGGAUGACGUCAAAUCAUCAUGCCCCUUAUGAUUUGGGCUACACACGUGCUACAAUGGACAAUACAAAGGGCAGCGAAACCGCGAGGUCAAGCAAAUCCCAUAAAGUUGUUCUCAGUUCGGAUUGUAGUCUGCAACUCGACUACAUGAAGCUGGAAUCGCUAGUAAUCGUAGAUCAGCAUGCUACGGUGAAUACGUUCCCGGGUCU